UUUAAUCGACAAAGUCAUUUUGUGUCCGUAACAGUUUCAUGUGUAUGUGGAGAUUCAUUCAAGUGGCUCUCCUCCUCUAUCAUGGGAGGAUCUCCUCCAAAGUACUAUGUAAAUUUGAGUCUUGAAAAAGCAUUGUUAUGCAACCAUUGUGAAUAGGGUUUGCAAUGAGUCCAUGUCUGCUGCCCAGGAAGAAGUGAAAAGCACCCCUUGUUAUGUUGUAAAUGGAGAGAACCAAAAAAGUUUUAGGAGUCGUAAACUGGAGUAGGGCUAGUGAAACUUCAGCAGUGAGCCGUGAAGUCCCUAUGACAAAAGAGCUGCUGACUU